GAGGGAUUGGAUCCUCUGCAACCUCAAACUUCAUCCUCACUUAUCUGAUCGAAGUGGGAACUGUCAUUUGGGUGCAAUAGCAACCAUUAUCGAUGUAGUUGGAGGUGCAGUUAUAUCAACUUAUAAAGGAGACAUCAAAUUGUCCCUCGAUUUCGAUAUUUCCUACUUCUCCACGGUUAAGAUCCAGGAAGAGUUGGAGAUUGAAGGUAAGGUGGA